CUUAAAGGAAUUGACGGGACCGCACAAGCGGUGGAUGAUGUGGAUUAAUUCGAUGACAACGCGAAAAACCUUACCUACCCUUGACAUGUCCGGAAUCCCGAAGAGAUUUGGGAGUGCUCGCAAGAGAACCGGAACACAGGUGCUGCAUGGCUGUCGUCAGCUCGUGUCGUGAGAUGUUGGGUUAAGUCCCGCAACGAGCGCAACCCUUGUCAUUAGUUGCCAUCAUUUGGUUGGGCACUCUAAUGAGACUGCCGGUGACAAACCGGAGGAAGGUGGGGAUGACGUCAAGUCCUCAUGGCCCUUAUGGGUAGGGCUUCACACGUCAUACAAUGGUCGGUACAGAGGGUUGCCAACCCGCGAGGGGGAGCUAAUCCCACAAAGCCGACCGUAGUCCGGAUCGCAGUCUGCAACUCGACUGCGUGAAGUCGGAAUCGCUAGUAAUCGUGGAUCAGCAUGUCACGGUGAAUACGUUCCCGGGUCUU
rnacentral:rRNA from 1 species